rnacentral:rRNA from 1 species
GACGAACGCUGGCGGCAUGCCUAAUACAUGCAAGUCGAGCGAACAGAUGAAGUGCUUGCACUUCUGACGUUAGCGGCGAACGGGUGAGUAACACGUAAGGAAUCUACCUAUAAGCGGGGGAUAACAUUCGGAAACGGGUGCUAAUACCGCAUAAUAUCUUCUUCCGCAUGGAAGAAGAUUGAAAGACGGCUCUGCUGUCACUUAUAGAUGACCUUGCGGUGCAUUAGUUAGUUGGUGGGGUAACGACCUACCAAGACGAUGAUGCAUAGCCGACCUGCGAGGGUGAUCGGCCACAUUGGGACUGAGACACGGCCCAAACUCCUACGGGAGUCAGCAGUAGGGAAUCUUCCGCAAUGGGCGAAAGCCUGACGGAGCAAUGCCGCGUGAGUGAAGAAGGCCUUCGGGUCGUAAAACUCUGUUAUAAGAGAAGAACAAAUUGUAGAGUAACUGCUACAGUCUUGACGGUAUCUUAUCAGAAAGCCACGGCUGACUACGUGCCAGCCGCCGCCGUAA